rnacentral:lncRNA from 1 species
AAAAAAUCCCCAAAAAUUUCCCAAAAUUCCCCAAAAUUCCCCAAAAAUCCCAAAAAAUCCCCAAACCCCCCCAAAUUCCCGAAUUCCCUCCGCAGGUUCCGAGCCCUCUCUCCUUCUCCGCUUCCGGGCCGAGCUCGAUCCCGGGAGGCUCCGGAGCCGCGGAAUUUUCGCUUCCGGAACCUUCCAGAACGGGAGCCUCCGGAUGGGGGAGGGGCGGAGCUGCCGGACCCUCGAGAUCUUCUCCAAGGGCUGCCCCCAGGACACGCUGACCCCUCUGACCCUUCGGGUGACCCUCGGUGGUCUCGGGGAGCCUCUGGAAGCGGCCGGAGGGCUCCGGCCACAGCUCGGACCCGACUCGGACACGGCCGUGACGGCCUCGCUCCCGUUCGAGCACGACUGCGGCCCCGAUAAUUCCUGCCAGGACGAGCUCCACGUCGGCCUCAAAUUGGAGGGGUGAGGAGGGAAUUUUGGGGGAAUUUUGGGGAAUUUUGGGGAUUUUGGGGAAUUUGGGGAAUUUUGGGGAUUUUUGGGAAAUUUUGGGGGAUUUUGAGGAUUUUUAAAGGGAUUUUUGGGGAUUUUUUGGGGUUUUUAAAGGGAUUUUUUUUGGAUUUUUGGGGGUUUUUAAAGGGAUUUUUUGGGGAUUUUUUGGGGGUUUUUAAAGGGAUUUUUUGGGGGAUUUUUGGGGUUUUUAAAGGGAUUUUUUUGGGAUUUUUUUAGGAUUUUUUUUGAUUUUUAGAGGGAUUUUUAUGGGAUUUUUUGGGGAUUUUUGGGGAUUUUUGGGGGAUUUUAAAAGGGAUUUUUUGGGGAUUUUUGGGGGGUUUUUAAAGGGAUUUUUUUGGGAUUUUUGGGGGUUUUUAAAGGGAUUUUUUUUAUUUUUGGGGGGAUUUUUUGGGGAUCUUUUUGGGAUUUUUUUGGGAUUUUUUUGGGAUUUUUUAGGCUUUUUUAGGAUUUUUAAAGGGAUUUUUUUGGGAUUUUUUUAGGCUUUUUUGGGGUUUUUAAAGGGAUUUUUUUGGGGAUUUUUUAGGAUUUUUUGGGGUUUUUAAAGGGAUUUUUUUGGGAUUUUUGGGGGAUUUUUAAAGGGAUUUUUUUGGGGAUUUUUGGGGGAUAUUAAAGGGAUUUUUUUGGGAUUUUUGAGGAUUUUUUUUGAUUUUUAAAGGGAUUUUUUUUUGAUUUUUUGGGGGAUUUUUGGGAGGAUUUUUUUGGGAUUUUUUUUGAUUUUUAAAGAGAUUUUUUUGGGAUUUUUUUGGGAUUUUUUUGGGAUUUUUUUGGGAUUUUUUAGGAUUUUUUGGGAUUUCUAAAGGGAUUUUUUUUGGAUUUUUGGGGAUUUUUAAAGGGAUUUUUUUUGAUUUUUUGGGGGAUUUUUCUGCGAUUUUGGGGCCUCCCAAAAUGAAUUUUUUUGGAUUUUUUGGGGGGAUUUUUCUG